rnacentral:tRNA from 1 species
GGCACGGUACGCCAACAGGUAGAGCGACCAGUUUCAGAGACUGGUGGAUGGGGGUUCGAAUCCCUCUCGUGUCA